rnacentral:rRNA from 1 species
UACAGAGGGGGCAAGCGUUGUUCGGAAUUACUGGGCGUAAAGGGCGCGUAGGCGGCCUGUUAAGUCGAACGUGAAAUCCCCGGGCUCAACCCGGGAACUGCGUCCGAUACUGGCAGGCUUGAAUCCGGGAGAGGGAUGCAGAAUUCCAGGUGUAGCGGUGAAAUGCGUAGAUAUCUGGAGGAAUACCGGUGGCGAAGGCGGCAUCCUGGACCGGCAUUGACGCUGAGGAGCGAAAGCCAGGGGAGCAAACGGG